UUGGCUCAGUGUAUCUGGUAAUUAGGGCAGUGGCGACCUUGGGGAGAAGUGUUUUCGUGGGGAAAUAGGGACAGAAAACAUCCGCCGUGGGACAGGUUGAGCUGUGUGGCAGUAUGGCAUCCUGGCCGGUCUCCUGGGAAGGUGCUCAGCUGGGGCCGGCUGCCUAUCCUUCUGCUCGCUCAGUGCUUCCUGAAACCAUCUGAACCUCAAAGGGCACCAGGCGGCGAGAGCUGGUGUCCCAUUGGUUGCCGACAUGGCUUCCUAAAAACAGAAGAAACAGCGGCCUUCUCACGCUGCGGGCUGGCCGUGGUGUGUGAGAAGCCCAGGCGGGGACAAGGGCAGGAGUUAGGCAUGUUUUGCAGCACCAGAUAAUGAAUGAAGCCAGGGCAGGACUCCUUCCAGGCCCCAUACGCAGGGAAGGAGGGAAGACCGGAUACUCACCCAUAUCAGCCUGCCGGACAUUUUUCAUCUGGAUGACCUUCACUGUCAGCAGGUGGCAUGGAGAGACCCCACCCUGUGGGUUGAGAGGACAGCGGACUCAUUCUUCAGGUGAUGACAACUGAUAGAGCAGCUCAAGCUGGACACAGUCUCCCACUGCUCAGACCCAAGAUGCCUCCUCACAGUCAAUCCACAUUUCUGGGCUCUUGAGGACACUGCUGGUCCCCAAGACUGCUGAGGUGAGGGGCUUACUUCUCGCCUCACUAGGAGCCAGCACACCUUGGAAAGGGAUGGCUUCAUGCCUGUUCUGUUCAUGUUUCUCCUGUUUGAAUCUCACGAUUUGAAGCCCCUUCCCUGAGAGUUUUAACCAGGCUUAGAGGAAUCUGUUUACCAUGCACUCCCAGCCUGUGCCCAUGGAACUCCUCCAUCUGACCAAGUGACCCUAUUUAAAGAGGCCUCUGAAGAACUUAUCAAACUCAACACCCAAAAAACAAAUAAUCCAGUGAAGAAAUGGGCAAAAGACAUGAAUAGACACUUCUCCAAAGAAGACAUCCAGAUGGCCAACCGACACACGAAAAAAAUGUUCAACAUCACUCAUCAUCAGGGAAAUAUAACUCAAAACCACAAUGAGACACCACCUUACACCUGUUAGAAUGGCUAACAUUAACAACUCAGGCAACAGCAGAUGAUGACGAGGAUGUGGAGAAAGAGGAUCUCUUUUGCAUCGUUGGUGGGAAUGCAAACUGGUGCAGCUACUCUGGAAAACAGUAUGGAUGUUCCUCAAAAAGCUAAAAAUAGAACUACCCUACAACCCAGCAAUUGCACUACUAGGCAUUUAUCCAUGGGAUACAGGUGUGCUGUUUCGAAGGGACACAUGCACCCCCAUGUUGAUAGCAGUACCAUCAACAAUAGCCAAAGUAUGGAAAGAGCCCAAAUGUCCAUCGAUGGAUGAAUGG